GCCAAAACCAGCGAAGAAGAAGAAGAAGACCUCAGUAAUACGGACGCUGGUGAAGGCUUCAAUCCACGAACAUCUUUGCUCUUUGUUUGUAUGGUUCGUAUGUGUGAAUAAAUGUUCAGUGUGGAAAUCCCUCCACUUCAUCUCCCGCCUCGAAACUUAAUAUCAUACCGGAGCUAGGCUAAUAGCAUCCGCGGCUAAGCGUCCCUCCAACUCCACGGUACAAAUCCCUGAAGGAGAGGAGCGGAGAUGGGCUGCAAGCUGGAGAAAUGCUGACGUGUCCUUUCAUUCUUUUACACUGAUCUGAGCGUCACAACAUAUAAAUUAACUGUGUGAGUGUGAUGGAGUUUGGCAGCAACAAACUGACAGCUUUUCUCCUCAUACCGCUGUUUCAUCUUCCUCUACUUCCCUUUUGGCGGUAAAACUUGCUUCACAUUACCGCUAAACAUGUUUCACUCUGCUCAAGGCCACUUACUGGUGGCGAAAAGGGUUUAUUUUGGUAUAUUGUAAGAAAUAAAUUAACUCAGAGUGUGAUGGAGUUUGGCAGCAACAAACUGACAGCUUUUCUUGUCAAUUUUCAGUUCAGAAAUCGGUACAUAAAGUUCAGCCAUCAAAACAGCAGCAGAGUGAGACGUCUUCCUUUUCCUCAUAGCACUGUCAUUACUCAUCGGCGCCCUCCGGUGGCCAAAACUGUAACUGCAUAUGGAUUAAUGAAGUUUGUGAUGAGACGCUAAGGAGCAGGAGUCAGAGUGACAUUUCUGCACCCUUUUGAGGACGACCCGUGAAGAGAGGCUGAUUAUGGCGAUGGAAAAACAAAAGAUGGACAAUCGAGAAACAAACUAAACUCUGUCUGAACAAACACAGAAUCUCUUUGAUAGUUUUAUAUGCAGGAGAUGAUGAAGAUGGG